rnacentral:rRNA from 1 species
UAGGGAAUCUUGGACAAUGGGCGCAAGCCUGAUCCAGCCAUGCCGCGUGAGUGAAGAAGGCCUUAGGGUCGUAAAGCUCUUUCGCCUGUGAUGAUAAUGACAGUAGCAGGUAAAGAAACCCCGGCUAACUCCGUGCCAGCAGCCGCGGUAAUACGGAGGGGGUUAGCGUUGUUCGGAAUUACUGGGCGUAAAGCGCGCGUAGGCGGAUUGGAAAGUUGGGGGUGAAAUCCCAGGGCUCAACCCUGGAACUGCCUCCAAAACUCCCAGUCUAGAGUUCGAGAGAGGUGAGUGGAAUUCCAAGUGUAGAGGUGAAAUUCGUAGAUAUUUGGAGGAACACCAGUGGCGAAGGCGGCUCACUGGCUCGAUACUGACGCUGAGGUGCGAAAGUGUGGGGAGCAAACAGGAUUAGAUACCCUGGUAGUCCACACCGUAAACGAUGAAUGCCAGUCGUCGGGUAGUAUACUAUUCGGUGACACACCUAACGGAUUAAGCAUUCCGCCUGGGGAGUACGGUCGCAAGAUUA